rnacentral:lncRNA from 1 species
UGGCAUCUGUGAGCCAAAGACUUGCCUAUUACAUGUUGUUCAUAGAGCAAAGAACAAAUAACUGUGGCGCACCAGAAUGAUGGUUGUGACCUCACCUGUCAAGUAACAACCAUCCACCACAGAUCAGACCAAUUAACUAGAAGUAGCACAGUAUGUCUGGGACAAGUUAUCUCUUAGGAUAAGCAUAUAAUGUUCAGGGAAGCAUCUGUAGCUCUGGGCAGACCGGCAGAACCCUUUCACAAUUUAAAGUAAGCAAGUGAAAAUGACUAAUAGCUGUUGAGUGUCGAGCAUUGUAUCCUACCGAGUCACAUAUGCAGGUGCUAUUUGCAGUUUUGUUUCUCAUUUUCCACAUUCAACUGUCAUACUUAUGCUUUAUGUAUGGCAACUUUGUCAUAAAAAAAACUAUUUUAAGGAAAUCUACAAAAUGUUAUACUGACAUGCAAACUGUAUAUGGCACAAGAAUUUGUUUCUACACUUUUCAUUGCCUGGAAAAUAAUAAGCAAGAACCAAGGAGAAUAUCCUCAACGGUAGCUUAAACUAACUUUCUAAGCUAUCACUGACUUUCUCAGUUGGCUCCCUCAACUCGUGGUCAGCGGUUACGGUUCUUAAACUAACACAAUUUUCUCACUCUGGUAAAGCUCACUGAGGUGGAUGUUGGCGUCACAAUUUAGCAUGGGUGAAUAUUGAGAUGGACACUAAUGUGGCGAGUAAAAUGUUGGAAGCCUGUUUAUGUACUGAUAAUGAUAAUAGCCUGAUUUAGCGUGUUUCACUGGAUUUUGAGCUACGGCAUAUUCUUUCAGAUGAUUUAAAUGGAAAUGGUGUAAUGCGCGAAUUAUUAGCAAACAAAAUACCCAACAAAACAUAACAUUUGUUGUUCGUGCAUCAUCAGCGGUGCGCUAGAAAAUACAUUGGCUGUUAGUGGCGGAGCCAGGAUUGGCUGACGCCCUAGGCAAGAAAGGGCUAAAAACUACCCUAAAAAAAUUCUAGUUUCAAGGCAUACGAAAGUGAAUCUAUAUUGCACAACUAAUAAUACGCCAAACAUAAUAUUCAACGGCAAUAUUUGUUCCAUGAUGGGUCAACUAAUAAAGCAAGAUAAGUCAAAAGACAAUAUGUAGCGUAUAUAAAUGAUACAAAAGAUUGAUACCACCAAAUCAAAGGAUUAGUUGAUCUGAGCCUCCCAUGACUACAUCUUCAAUAGCAGAAGAUGCUAAACCUUGAAUGAUAAAUUUUGAAAUGCAAAUCGGUGUAAUAAUAUAACAGGUAAAAAGAGUUAAUAAUAGGUCUAAUUCAGGACUUUCAAAUCUAUUUUAUUUUAUCUAAUUCUAUCUACACCCCAGGGGCUAGGAACAAAACAGUCAUUUCCUUUUUCUGAUCAUAGAGAAGCCGUAUGAAGCUAAGGUUUCAUGUACAGUUUUGAAUUAACGGUGGGGGUUCUCAUCCUUCAGAGACUACGAGUGUAAUAGGAGCAUCCUUUGACAAAAGGAUCACCCUAAGAUGAUUAUCUCAUGGCUAUUGGGAACGAAUCAAAUCAGAUGGUUCUAUUUCUCAACCUUUCCCUUUAUUGGAUUUGAACCGAUGACUUAUGCCUUACACCAUGGCAUUACUCUACCACUGAGUUAAAAGGGCUUUUUAUUUAAUUCAAAAAUUAGCCUAGAUGCAAAAUUUGAGAACUUAUGUCUAGGACGAGGCAAAAGGUAUCUGCGAUUGCGAUAACCUUAAAAUCGCUCAAUGAACUUGAAUUUCAUGUACUCAUCUUGCCUUCCUGUAACAUUUUAAAGAAACAAAAUUACUAAAUGUCUAAAUAGGUUUCCACAUCUAACAAACAGUGGCAUCUAGCAAUGAAAAUCAUCAUCAAACAGUGACAUCUAGAAAACAAAACAAACGCAUCAAAGCAUUAAGCAAUACCUCUCUGCUCUGCUCUGUGUUGCGGCUCGGCUCCUGGCAAACCAGCACCUCGCCCGACGCCAGGAAGAAGGGAUCGAGCACCUCGCGGACGCCAAGCCUCGCCGGAGUCGCCGCCUCCGCGCCUCGCCGGACGGAGCAGCAGCCCGCAGCGCGACAGCGGCGCAACCUGACGCCCGCACGACCGCAGAAGUGAUCGAAGGGGCGGGCAACGGACUGGAGGGGGGAGGGGGGGUGGGGCGGCUGGAUAGGCUCGACCGGCGCGACGGCAGGUGGCGUUGGCGGGCGGCGCCGGCGGACGGCUGGUCCUGGUCGCCUAGGGUUUGUCCAAGUCUGGGGGAAGAAGGGGCGGCUCAGCGGCUGGU